rnacentral:rRNA from 1 species
UACGUAGGGAGCAAGCGUUGUCCGGAAUCAUUGGGCGUAAAGCGCGCGUAGGCGGCCUUGUAAGUCCGUUGUGAAAGUCAAAGGCUCAACCUUUGAAAGCCGAUGGAUACUGUGAGGCUAGAGUCCGGAAGAGGCGAGUGGAAUUCCUGGUGUAGCGGUGAAAUGCGCAGAUAUCAGGAGGAACACCAAUGGCGAAGGCAGCUCGCUGGAACGGUACUGACGCUGAGGCGCGAAAGCGUGGGGAGCGAACAGG